rnacentral:rRNA from 1 species
UACAGAGGUCUCAAGCGUUGUUCGGAUUCAUUGGGCGUAAAGGGUGCGUAGGCGGCGCGGUAAGUCGGAUGUGAAAUCUCGGAGCUUAACUUCGAAACUGCAUUCGAUACUGCCGUGCUUGAGGACUGGAGAGGAGACUGGAAUUUACGGUGUAGCGGUGAAAUGCGCAGAUAUCAGGAAGAACACCCGUGGCGAAGGCGGCUCUCUGGGACGGUACUGACGCUGAGACGCGAAAGCGUGGGGAGCGAACAGG